CCAAUAGCGUAUAUUAAAGUUGUUGCAGUUAAAAAGCUCGUAGUUGAACUUCGGGGUUUACCCAUUGGUCAGGCUUAAUUGUCUGUACUGGUGAGAUGAAUCUCUACCUUCUGAGGAACUUUCAUGCCAUUUAGUUGGUGUGAUUGGAAAUCAGGACUGUUACUUUGAAAAAAUUAGAGUGUUUAAAGCAGGCUAACGUCUGAAUACAUUAGCAUGGAAUAAUGAAAUAGGACGGAUUGGUUCUAUUUCGUUGGUUUCUAGGAUCACCGUAAUGAUUAAUAGGGAUAGUUGGGGGCAUUAGUAUUCAAUUGUCAGAGGUGAAAUUCUUGGAUUUAUUGAAGACUAACUAUUGCGAAAGCAUUUGCCAAGGAUGUUUUCAUUAAUCAAGAACGAAAGUUAGGGGAUCGAAGACGAUCAGAUACCGUCGUAGUCUUAACCAUAAACUAUGCCGACUAGGGAUCGGACGAAGUUAAUUUUAUAAUGACGCGUUCGGCACCUUGCG
rnacentral:rRNA from 1 species